rnacentral:lncRNA from 1 species
GAAGAAUUAGGUCACACAUGGGCUUGUAGGAUGAAUGUGGGGUUUUAUUGAGUGGUGGAGGUGGCUCUCAGUGGGAUGGAUGGGGAGCCAGAAGUGGGGAUGGAGUGGGAAGAUGAUCUUCCCCUGGACCCUGGCCAUCCAGCGGCCGAACUCCUCCCUGACCACCUUCAGUCAAACUCCUCUCAGCAUUCAGGCAUUCCUUCUCUUCUCUCUUUCCCUGCUGUAUCGUUCCACCAUUCAUCUGCUUGUCUCCUCGUAUUUUUGUCUGCCCGUCUGCUUCUGGAGCAGGUGGGAUAAACCUUGAACUGGAUUUAACCUCGAACAGAAGGGCCAGUCGAAAAUGAUGCUUUCCAACUUGCAAAUCCUGCUGAAGAUAACACAUGUGUAUGGGGUGUUCUGCAGAAGCCGAGGCCCUUGGCCACAGAGCUAAACACAUAUGCUUGAAGUGGAAGUCAGAGAAACUGAAGAGAGGUCCACGAGAAAGUAGAGCAGUCUUGGACCUCAGCCGCAAGGUGUGCAAGCUACAAAAUGACUGCUGCCUCCCUUCUGCCCUCCACAUCUCCCACAGCAGGUUCAUAGAUACACCCUUCAAGGCUGUCCCUCCAAAUGAGAAGAGCAUGAACUAUGUGGUUGUACAGCUUGGGUGUGAAUUCCAGCUUGGCCACUAUGUGACUUUGGAAAAAUUACUUAACUUUGUGUGCCUAAUUUCCUCAUCGGAAAAACAAAGAUAAUAAAACAUACCUCUUGGGGUUGUUGUACGGAUUAAAUGUGCCUGUGUAUACAGAACCCCUAACACAGUCUCUCAGAUGUUGUAACUGUUUAACAAGUAGUGAUGUGAUUAUUGUUGAUAAUGUUGAUGGUAAGGCCACUUACCCCACCAUGGGUUCAAUUUUAGGAAGCUCAUCGUUGCUGCAUGGCUGAGCCCUGUCUGCAAUACCGCUAGUAUCAGUAAUAAAAUGGAUACUUUGAUCUCUAC